AGUGAACGCUGGCGGCAUGCCUAAUACAUGCAAGUCGAACGGCAGCACAGUAAGAUUUCGCCUCUACGGGUGGCGACUGGCGGAUGGGUGAGGAAUACAUCGCAUACCACUUUUACGUGGGGGAUAUCGGAGGGAAAGUUAUGCUACCACCGCAUAUGUUCUACGGGUUAAAUCAAGGGAUCAUCACACCUUGCGCGACUCAUUUAGCCGGUGUCGGAUUAGCUAGUUGGCUGGGUAACGGCCCACCAAGGCAACGAUCCGUAGCUGGUCUGAGAGGAUGAUCGGCCACACUGGAACUGAGACACGGUCCAGACUCCUACGGGAGGCAGCAGUAGGGAAUCUUGGGCAAUGGGCGCAAGCCUGAUGGAGCCAUGCCGCGUGAGUGAUGAAGGUCUUCGGGUUGUAAAGCCCUUUUAUUAGGGAAGAACAGAUGCGUAUUUAUACCCGGCUGUUCUGACGGUACCCAAACAGAAAGCCCCGGCUAACUUCGUG
rnacentral:rRNA from 1 species